GAUGAACGCUGGCGGCGUGCCUAAUACAUGCAAGUCGAGCGAACGGACGAGAAGCUUGCUUCUCUGAUGUUAGCGGCGGACGGGUGAGUAACACGGGGAUAACCUAACUAUAAGACUGGGAUAACUUCGGGAAACCGUAGCUAAUACCGGAUAAUAUUUUGAACUGCAUGGUUCAAAAGUGAAAGACGGUCUUGCUGUCACUUAUAGAUGGAUCCGCGCUGCAUUAGCUAGUUGGUAAGGUAACGGCUUACCAAGGCAACGAUGCAUAGCCGCCCUGAGAGGGUGAUCGCCCACCCGGGCAGUGAGAAACGGCCCCGACACCUAGAGGAGGAAGCAGUCGGGACUCUUCCGCAAUGCGCGAAAGCCUGACGGAGCAACGCCGCGUGAGUGAUGAACGUCUUAGGAUCGUAAAAUUCUGUAAUUAGGGAAGAACAUAUGUGUAAGUAACUGUGCACAUCUUGACGGUACCUAAACAGAAAGCCACGGCUAACUCCGUG
rnacentral:rRNA from 1 species